rnacentral:rRNA from 1 species
AACAAACGCUGGCGGCGUGCCUAAUACAUGCAAGUCGAACGGGGAAAGCUUUCGGGUGAGUACUAGUGGCGCACGGGUGAGUAACGCGUGGAUAAUCUGCCUUGAAGAGGGGGAUAACCAGUCGAAAGAUUGGCUAAUACCGCAUAAGACCACAGGAACUGAGGUUCUAGAGGUCAAAGGUUUUUCGCUUCAAGAUGAGUCCGCGUAAGAUUAGCUAGUUGGUGAGGUAACGGCUCACCAAGGCGACGAUCUUUAACUGGUCUGAGAGGAUGAUCAGUCACACUGGAACUGAGACACGGUCCAGACUCCUACGAGAGGCAGCAGUAGGGAAUAUUGCACAAUGGAGGAAACUCUGAUGCAGCGACGCCGCGUGAGUGAUGAAGGCCUUCGGGUCGUAAAGCUCUGUCGCAGGGGAAUAACACAAUGAAGGUACCCUGUAAGAAAGGAUCGGCUAACUUCGUGCCAGCAGCCGCCGCGGUAA